AUGCUUGGAUUAUCGCCUGUUAUUGGAUUUACCGUUUGCCUCGCCCUCUGGAUUACGGUUACCGUCUUUGACCCACGCCUGUUUCAUGGAUCACUCUUCAGUCUCACCCUUGAUAUAUCUGUUUGCCAUUGUUUGACUUUUGCCGAAUACUCGGCCCCACAAGGAUCCAGCGGCUUUCCUAAAGGACCUUGGCCAAGUAUGGACCCUGUCGACCGGCUACUCUAUUCACGACAGGGGAGUUCACCUAUUGAGGAGUACGUCACUCAGUUCUGUCCAGAGUCUCCUGUGUCUCAGUUUUCUCCAGGUUCCAGUCUCUGCCUUGGUGGUCUUCUGUUCCCUCGCGGAGGUCUUAUGUUCCGUUUGUUCCACCGUGGUGGUCUUCUGCUCCAUCGUGGGGGUCUUCUGUUCUACUCUGGUGGUCUUCUGCUCCAUCGUGGGCGUCUUCUGUUCUGCUCUGGUGGUCUUUUGCUCUGCCGUGGGGAUCUUCAAACUCAUCUGCGCUGCUGGUGGUGGUCCUCAGCCUCACCUGUUCUGCCAGUACCGUCAUGGUUCUCUGCUUCUCCAGUUCUAACUCAAUCCCAGGGUCAUCCAUCUCCACAUGGACCUGUCCCUCCAUCCUUCCCCCGGUUCCACCUCCGCUCCACCACCCUCCUGGUUUUUGUAGUGUUUGGAGCGUCUGGAAGAGGGGGGCUCUGUCACGAAUCUGUUCCAUGGUCUUUCAUCUGAUUAUCACAAGAGGUCGCUCUCUCACCAUAUUGACACUCAGACCACACAGACUGUCACACAUCACUCUGGACUACAUCUCCCAUGCUCCACUGCACUGAUUGCGCACUCACCUGCAUCCAAUAACACACUAUAUAACACUCACUCUGAUCCUGCUGUAGUCGCCAAGUAUUGUAUGCAUGUAUCUUUCUCCAAGCGAUAGCUACUCUACGGAGCCUGUCUAGUUUUCAGUUCCUAGUCAUUAUCUUGUCUUGUUUGUUUACUCAUUUUUUGAUUCUUGUCUGUUUAUUUUGUAUACCCCUUUUGUCUUACCAUUCGGACUCUGUUUACGUCAUGCCUGGAUUAUCGCCUAUUAUUGGAUUUACCAUUUGCCUCGCCCUCUGGAUUACGGUUACCAUCGUUUGACCCACGCCUGUUUCAUUGAUCACUCUUCAGUCUCACUCUUGAUAUAUCUGUUUGCCAUUGUUUGACUUUUGCCGGUAUUGACCAUGUCAUUGAAUAAAGCCUUGCAAGUGGAUCCGCUCGCCUCACAUCUCUGUCAUAUAUAUAUAUAUAUAUAUAUAUAUAUAUAUAUAUAUAUCAUCUAAUUUCUAACAUUUAUAUACACAUAUAACAUAAUAAUCUAACUUUUUUUUUUUUAUUAUGACUUUGUAUGAUUGUUACACCAAUUAUUUUAAGGGUCAGGCAAAAGCAGCACCUUAACGCAACAAUUAUAUGUAUCAACUUUAAAACACUAUGCUGCAAUAAAACAUAGUUGUGGAAUAGAGAAUAAAGUUUAUUAAAAAAUGAUCUGCAGAGGUAAUAGUGUCCUCUGCAGUAGGGUUAGAGAUAGAGGACUAUAGUGCCAUUACCUUGAAAUAGACAUGCAGUGCUCUUCUCAAAUUGGCAUCUAGUGUAAAAGCAUCCUGCAGUAUAGACUGAGGGCCUGGGGUGAAGCCAUGUUAACUCUGCAAUUCUUUAAGUUCAGUGGAGCUGAAAAACACAAACUGUUCGAGAGAGAGAGAAUAGAAUAAAGGAGCCUUUCUCAUCUCGCUUUUUUGUGCCGGCUUUGCAGGAAUUCUCUAAAUUGAGGAGAUGAGUGAAAAUGGGAGCAUUUCGGAGCACCGAGAUGGGACAGAUAGGGACAAAACAGGGCCAUAAAAACAGCUGCAUUACCAUACGUUAUUAUACAAAAUAUUUUGCACUCACUCUCUUGGACGAGCAAUCAAAAUGGCCUUUCUCUUCACA
ensembl:lncRNA